UGGUCUAGUGGUUAAGUCACCUGGCUUGAAACCAGGAGACUGUGUGUUCUAGUCCCAC
rnacentral:tRNA from 1 species